CUGAGCACGAGUAAAAGACGCAACGCACAGCAAAAAUCUUGCGACGACGAAACGUCGCCCUCCUCUCCCCCGAUCCGCACGCCGGCACCGUUUUCUUUCCUUCUCUAUCUACUGGCAAGUUCGGCAACCGAUUCAUGCCCAACACGCAAUAAUUUGCCAUGCCCAACCUCCUCCCACCAUUGCCAUGCCCACCCGCCCGCACACUUUCCCAUUUCAGUCGCGGCUCCGUGGCAGGGCCGUGCUUCAAAUGCCGGUCUCCGCUCGCUUCAUUAUUCGCCUGAGCAUGCAGUAAUUCCUCCGGGUCGGCACCGGGUUCCUGAAAUUUCGCUCCACUUCUAGAAUUAUAUUGGCCCGACGCCGCCUCAAGGUUGGAUUUUUAGAGUCAAACAUCGGAAUCUUGGCCGACACGGACUGGGUUUCUUUGAGCAAAAUCGCUUGCCUGCUACCCACCCGCUGAGCUAGAGAUUGGAUUCGCGGGGGCGUUUCGGUGGGGGGCCGAGCAUGACGAUCGAUUUGUCCACCAUGCCCGGGAGCUCCUCCUCCCGUCUCCUGGACGCCGCCGCGGCGAGGAAGGACAUGAACUUCUUCAAAAACCGCUACGUGCUUGGGCUCACCGGCGUCGCCGGAAUCGGCGGGUUCCUCUUUGGAUACGACACAGGUGUUAUAUCUGGAGCGCUUCUGUAUAUUCGGGACGAAUUUCCAGCUGUCAAAGACAAUCUAUUCUUGCAGGAGACAAUUGUUAGCAUGGCAUUACUUGGAGCCAUGCUUGGAGCAGCUGGGGGCGGUUGGAUAAAUGAUGCCUACGGUCGUAAAAAGUCCACUCUUCUUGCUGACCUGAUGUUCGCACUUGGUUCACUGGUUAUGUGUGCUGCUGGCGGUCCUUACAUUCUGAUACUUGGAAGGCUCUUUGUUGGAUUGGGUGUGGGAAUAGCAUCAGUCACUGCCCCAGUUUACAUCGCUGAAGCUGCUCCUUCAGAAAUCAGGGGAGGUUUGGUGUCAACUAAUGUCCUCAUGAUUACUGGCGGCCAAUUCUUCUCCUACUUGGUCAAUCUUGGCUUUACCGAGUUGAUUUCAUAACACUCUUUCGUAUCAAUGAACGAGAGUCGGCCUUCCCCCAUCAGCAGCAAUGGAAUUAUCACCUACAAGGUGCUGUUUGGUUCCUGGGACAUGGCGCUGGAUGCUCGGAGUAGCUGCUGUGCCAGCAAUCAUACAGUUUGUGCUGAUGCUUUUUCUGCCAGAAUCUCCCCGCUGGCUUUACCGGAAGGAUGAGAAAGCAAAAGCUAUUGCUGUCCUGGAGCAGAUAUAUGACUCUGGUCGUCUGGAGGAAGAGGUUGAGCUGCUUGCGUCGGCUUCCAUGCAUGAAUUCCAGUCUAACUGUACUGGGAGCUAUUUGGACAUAUUCAGGUUGAAGGAAUUAAGGCUAGCUUUUUUUGCUGGAGCUGGUCUUCAGGCCUUUCAGCAAUUUACUGGCAUCAACACCGUCAUGUACUACAGCCCCACGAUCGUCCAGAUGGCUGGGUUCACUUCCAACAGGCUGGCCCUGCUACUUUCCCUCAUCGUUGCCGCCAUGAAUGCGAGUGGAACCAUCGUCGGAAUCUACCUCAUCGACCGUUGUGGCCGCCGCCGCCUGGCCCUUACAAGCCUAGCCGGGGUCGUGCUCUCCCUUGUCAUCCUCGCCACGGCCUUCAUACUGCAGUCAUCCUCCAGCCUCUGCGGGAGCCUGUUCAGCGGCUCCUGCCAAGGCGUGCUGGGGUGGUUCGCGGUCGGAGGGCUCGCUCUGUACAUCGCCUUCUUCUCUCCGGGCAUGGGGCCGGUGCCAUGGGCCGUGAACUCGGAGAUCUACCCCGAGGCCUACCGCGGCAUGUGCGGCGGCAUGUCGGCCACCGUCAACUGGAUCUCCAACCUGAUCGUGGCGCAGACGUUCCUCUCGAUCGUGGGGUGGGUCGGCACCGGCCCAACAUUCAUAAUCAUCGCCGGGAUAGCCGUGAUGGCCUUGAUCUUCGUCGCCCUCUACGUGCCGGAGACCAAGGGCCUGAGCUUCGAGGAGGUGGACCUCCUGUGGAAAGAGCGGGCCUGGGGAAGCCAGGGCAGCCACGAGAGCCUCCUGGGUGCUGCGCCGUAAGAGGUAAGACCACCACCUGCUGGCUCUGGUCCUGCACGGCGGUGCAUCGGCGGCGCCCUUUUAGUAUGGUUCUGCGGCUGCGCCCCGCCGCGCCUGGCUGGCUCGCGGCGGUCGCUGGCUUCUAGCUAGGACGGGAGUCUUAGAAAGAACUGGAUGGACAAUAUCAUACACGAAUCACGAACCUGUAUAUCAAUGGCGGUGUGUUAUGUUGUCGUCGCGUGUUCAAGUCGAAUAUUGUUGAGUCAAAGCGACCGUAUGACUGAGACGCAGCAAUAUUGUUUCUGCAUUGCCGGCAUGAGUGCACCAAGAACCAAAGAGCAAGAGCUCCGUUGGCGGUGAUGGGUGGUAGAUGGACAAAACCGAUGUCUUCAGCAGUUUAUUUUGCGUGGGUUUUGUGUUUCUAAUUCGUAAACUGGUAUCCCAAAUUGCCAGUUCUAUCUCCAUGUACCUAAGAGCACAGUGCUGGCCCUGUGUUUUGGAAGGCCCUAGGCGAACUCGGUG
rnacentral:rRNA from 1 species